GCUCGGGUGGCGGAACUGGUAUACGCGCAACACUUAAAAUGUUGUGUUCGAAAGGACUUGCGGGUUCAAAUCCCGCCCUGAGCA
rnacentral:tRNA from 1 species